CUAAGCCUCUCCCUUCCUCAUACCUUCCUCUUUUGGUAAACAAAACCAGCUGUGCUAUUUCCUAUUAAGUAAACCACUGCUCAGCUGCAGAUUGCAAUGUUGUUGUGGUCACGCUACCAUUUGCAGAGGGGGAAACUAAAGAUGUGACAGUGAAGAGUGGUGACACAUUGAAGCUGCUGACUGAUCCCUCUCUUAAACUGCAAGGUGACUCCCUCAUCCUGUGGUACAUCCAGUUAAUUGGACAGAAAAAGAAUAAGACCAUCGCCAACUAUGAAAGUGGGACAUUGAAGCUUCCUCACCCAGAGUGGUCCAAAGAAAAACUCCAGCUGGAUGAGACAUUGGGGUCUAUUACUAUUGGGCCGCUCAGCUUCAAUGACAGCAAUAUUUUCCACGGAGAAAUCAUUGACACAAACAGCACGGUGCACAGGUUCCACUAUAACGUCACUGUCGUGGAUGAUCCAAACCCAGUGACUGAAAAACUCCCAGAAAGCAGGAAUGAUCCCAACAACCAGAGGAGCCACAUAGGCCUAGGAGGUGCUUUACCAAUUGUCUGCGCUAUCGUUUACUGCUGGGAGCUGUCGGCCUGAUGUUCAAGAAAAAGACACAGACGGAAAAGAAAGGAAAUACUCAGGAAGUCCUUGACAUUCCGCUUCAAGACAUUCAACCUUAAGGAGAAAGAGACGAGAGAAGAUCCAGGAUGAAUUUGACCAAAAAGAUAAAUCUGUCAUCAAACUAUUGCAGAGGAAACACACUGUAGCUGCAUUUCACACAUGUUGUUUUGUGCCUUAAAGGAAAUCAUCAGGUUUAAUCAGGAUAUCCUCUAUAAGGAUCCUGCUGUCUGCUCUCUCAGAAAGAAAAAGGGAAACUGAGUAAAUCAGCAGCAUAUAAAGGAUCGGUGUCACAGCUGGAAAGUAGUCCGGCACAAUAUGGCCUCGGCAAGCUCCAACCAAAGGGACUCAAAGAUUCCAGAGUUGAAUUUGUUUGUAAAAUGGUGUGUGUGGUCACCUUUGUAUCAUUGACCCUGAAGUUGCUGUUGUGUCUCUUCUCCUGUCUGACUAUAAUAAUGAUAAUACUACUAAAUAGAAUAAGCCUUUAUUUGGGGGCGCCAGUGGCCUAGUGGUUAGUGUGUGCGCCCCAUGUUUAGCGGUUGUAGUCUUUGAAGCAGGUGGCCAGGGUUCAAUGAAGUCCUUUUGCUCCUUUCCUGCGUGUCAUUCCUUCACUCUCUCCCUGAUUUCUGACUAUCCACUGUUCUCUCAAAUAGAAGUAAGGUGUAGGUAUUUUUGUGUGAGUCACAGGCAGCACAAGAUGAUGAGCUUUCAUCUCCGCUCUACUUCCUGUCUAGAGCCGUGGCUAGACGGCUGAAGCAGGUGCAGCAAAGAGAAAGACUUUGGACCCUGAAGUGAAGUCUAUAUAAGGAGUGGUAUGUGGGGAGUGAAAUUAGCUUCAUUAUAAUCUUCGUGUUACAACUUAAAUUAUCCCAAAAUACAUUUGUGAUAUACUGGCACACUUUUUGCACAUUUGUAAAGACCGAGAAAUGACUCAGGGACGUGAAAUGACUCAGGGACGUGAUGUUCUAGUUUGAAGUUUGUUUGUCCAAGUGAAGAUUGGACGUUGUGUACUUCACCCUGCUGUUGUCAGUAAAACUGUGAGAAUCUUUCACAUUAAACAAUAUCUUCUUUGUAAUACCAAUGAAUGUGAUCUCUACACCACUGUUGCUAUGAGUGAUUGUAUUUAUGUAGGAUGACUGUAAAGGAUUUUUAGUCAUCUCAAUUGAUUGCACUGAUGUUUUUCUUAAUGUAUUAUUUAUGUUUAGCUAAGCGCUCCUCAUUCAGUUAUGGGAGAUACAGAAAUAAAAAUGUGUUGAAAACAUC